GAAGACUCUAGGAUGUGCUUGGUCUCCUUGAAACAAAGAACCAGCUGUCCCUGGUGUCCAACCACAGACCUGAAGGAUGUUCUGCGCCCUGCAGGGGCAGCAACUGCCUGCCAGAAACACAGCACACAGAGAUGUGAGGGCGAGUGCCCCUGCUGAGAACCGGGAGCCUCCUGGGGAAGCACCACCAACCACACACAGCUGGGAUGUCCCACUAGGUGUGAGUGUCCUGAAACAUCCAUGGGCUACAGAAAGCUCUGUCUCAGCUUUUCAGGAGUUUAAAAUGAUGCUUUGAGCUGUGUGCUGGCAUUCAGCCAGAGGUGAUGCCAGGAACAGAGCCCACUGCUUUCACUGGAAGUCUCUGAAUGGGAAUCUUGGUGUACUUUACAUCGUCAAGAGAAUAUCCAAAGGAUUUCAGUGCAGGAAAGUUCUUUGGAAUAACUUCAAC